rnacentral:rRNA from 1 species
CCUACGGGAGGCUGCAGUGGGGGAUAUUGGACAAUGGGGGAAACCUGAUCCAGCGACGCCGCGUGAGUGAAGAAUUAUUUCCGUAUGGAAAGCUCUGUCAGCAGGGAAGAAAGAAAUGAUGGAACCUGACCAAGACGACCCGGCUAACUACGUGCCAGCAGCCGCGGUAAUACGUAGGGGGCAAGCGUUAUCCGGAAUUACUGGGUGUAAAGGGAGCGUAGACGGUUACGUAAGUCUGGAGUGAAAGGCCGGGGCUCAACCCCGGGACUGCACUGGAAACUAUUGAACUUGAGUGCAGGAGAGGUAAGCGGAAUUCCAAGUGUAGCGGUGAAAUGCGUAGAUAUUAGGAGGAACACCAGUGGCGAAGGCGGCUUACUGGACUGUAACUGACGUUGAGGCGCGAAAGCGUGGGGAGCAAACAGGAUUAGAUACCCCUGUAGUC